rnacentral:tRNA from 1 species
UUAUAUGAAAUAGAAUUAAACUAAAACUUUAGAUUCCAAAAAUCUAAGUACAUCUUAUACUAUCAUAUA